rnacentral:rRNA from 1 species
CAGCCGCCGCGGUAAUACGGAGGGUGCAAGCGUUAAUCGGAAUUACUGGGCGUAAAGCGCACGCAGGCGGUUUGUUAAGUCAGAUGUGAAAUCCCCGAGCUUAACUUGGGAACUGCAUUUGGGACUGGCAAGCUAGAGUCUUGUAGAGGGGGGUAGAAUUCCAGGUGUAGCGGUGAAAUGCGUAGAGAUCUGGAGGAAUACCGGUGGCGAAGGCGGCCCCCUGGACAAAGACUGACGCUCAGGUGCGAAAGCGUGGGGAGCAAACAGGAUUAGAUACCCGCGUAGUCCCUGUCUCUUAUAC